rnacentral:rRNA from 1 species
UACAGAGGUCUCAAGCGUUGUUCGGAUUCAUUGGGCGUAAAGCGCGCGCAGGCGGUCCUUUUAAGUCUGAUGUGAAAGCCCACGGCUCAACCGUGGAGGGUCAUUGGAAACUGGGGGACUUGAGUGCAGAAGAGGAGAGUGGAAUUCCACGUGUAGCGGUGAAAUGCGUAGAGAUGUGGAGGAACACCAGUGGCGAAGGCGACUCUCUGGUCUGUAACUGACGCUGAGGCGCGAAAGCGUGGGGAGCGAACAGG